AUCGGGUCCAACUAGAGAUUUUUUGUUUUGUUUUGUUUUUGCCUUUUUUAGGGCCGCUCCCGCGGUAUAUGGAGGUUUCCAGUCUAGGGGUCUAAUUAGAGCUGUAGCCACUGGCCUACACCAGAGCCACAGCAACGCAGGAUCCAAGACGCGUCUGCAACCUAUACCACAGCUCAAGGCACUGCCAGAUCCUUAACCCACUGAGCAAGGCCAGGGAUUGAACCUGAAACCUCAUGGUUCCUGGUCGGAUUCUUUAACCACUGAGCCACAACCGGAUCUCCAAUCCAACUAGGGUCUUUGAUGCUUCUGCAUGGUGACUGGGCAUAGUAGCUGCUCGCUGUGUAGCCGUCCGGUAAAUGCAUUCAUGUGUCCCCGAGACGGCUGACUCACGUUCAUGUCGUGGUGUUGUGCUGGCCACAAAGUGUGCCAUCAGGAAUAACCCUGGAGCCUCUUCCAGAAACCGUGGUGUGGUGGCAUGGAUGCGUCCAGAUCCAGAGGCUCAGCAGGGCGGUACAGAGGCGAGUGUCCUGUUUCCUGGGACCUGCAAUGGCAGAGACUUCUGUUCCCACUACAGCUGCACCUCCUGGAGCAUCCUUGCUUGUGGAUCCCGCCAGGGGUGGACGGGACGGUUGCUUUCAACGCUGUUCCUCUGCAUACUCGCCAGUGUGACCGCGUGAACUACACAUGCGCACGGUGACCUAGGAAUCAGCGAGUUCACAGUCUUUGUGGGAGUUCCUGCUGUGGUACAACUGGAUCAGUGGCAUCUCUGGAGCUCUGGGAUGCUGGUUCAAUCCCUGGCCUGGCACAGUGGGUUAAGGAUCUGGUGUGCCAUAGUUGAGGUGUAGGUGGCCACUGCUGCUUGGGUCUGAUCCCUGGCCCAGGAACUCCAUAGGCUGUGGGGCGGCCAAAAAUCACAACUUUGUGCAGGGCAAACUUGUACGCUUUGCACAGCGAAGGAAAACCAUAAACAAAACGAAAAGACAACCGAAGGACCAAGAGAACACAGUUGCACAUGAUGUGAUCGACAAGGGCUUAAUUUCCAAAAUAUACCGACAGCUCAAACACCCACACAUACGGCUCAUUCAAAAAAUGGGCAACGGACCUAAAUAGACAGACAUUUCUCCAAAGAUGACAUACAUGUGGCCAAUGGCACAUGAAAAGAUGUUCGGUUUUGCUAAUUAUCGGGGAAAUGCAAAUCAAACUCCAAUGAGGUGUCACCUCUCACCUGUCAGGUGGUCAUCAUUAAAAAGUCUACAAAUGGUAAAUGCCAGAGCGGGCCUGGAGGAAAAGGAACCCUCCUACACUGUUGGUGGGAAUGUAAAUUGGGGCAGCUACUAUGGAAAACAGUUCCUUAAAAAAACUAAAAAUAGAGCUGCCAUAUGAUCCAGCAAUCCCAUUCCUGGGCGUAUAUCCAGACAAGAUAUAAAAAUUCUAAUUUGCAAAGAUACAUGCACCCCAGUGUUCAUAGCAGUGCUAUUUAUAAUAGCCAAGGCAUGGAAUCAACCUAAAUGCCCGCGGACAGAUGAAUGAUUAAAGAAGACGUGGUCCCUGUACACAAUGGAAUGCUACUCAGCCAUAAAAAGGAAUGAAAUCAUGCCGUUUGCGGCAACAUGGCUGGACCUAGAGUUGAUCAUAGUGAAUGAAGCCAGUCAGACAAAGACAAAUAUAGGAGAUCACUUAUAUGUGGAAUCUAAAAUAGGACACACAGGGAGUUCCCAUCGUGGCACAGUGCUUAACGAAUCCGACUAGGAACCAUGAGGUUUCGGGUUCAAUCCCUGGCCUUGCUCAGUGGGUUAAGGAUCCGGCGUUGCUGUGAGCUGUGGUGUAGGUCACAGAUGUGGCUUGGAUGUGGCGUUGCUGUGGCUCUGGUGUAGGCUGGUGGCUACAGCUCCGAUUCGACCCUUAGCCUGGGAAUCUCCAUAUGCCUCGGGAGCGGCCCUACAAAAGGCAAAAAAAAUUAAAUAAAUAAAAAAAAAAAAAAAAUAUAGUAGGACACAAAUAAACUUACAAAACAGAAACAGACUCACAGACGUGGAACAAACUUACAGUUACCGAAGAGGAAGAGGGGGAGGGAUAAAUGAGGAGUUUGGGAUGCUCGGAUACACACGACUAUGCAGGGCAUGUAUAAACAACAAGGUCCUACCGUACAGCACAGGGAACAGCAUUCAGCAUCCUGGAAAAAAAUCUUUAUGAAGGGACGAAGAGCGAACGUCACGUGCAUAAUGAAGGGUCAGCCAUCUAGAAAUCUCAAAUAGGAGUUCCCAUGUGGCACAGUGGGUUAAGGACCCAGCAUUGCUGCAGCUGUGGCACAUAGGUUGCCGCUCUGGCUUGGAUGUGGUCCCUAGCCUUGGAACUUUCAUAGGCCAUAGGUGUGGCAAAAAAAAAAAAAAAGGAACAAAGAAAAAAGAAAAAAACUCCAAACCAAUUCAAAUGAGUUCCAUUUUUAUAAAAGAAAUAAUAAGUGUAGCGUUUUAGGGUUUCUCAGAGAAACAGACCUGAAAACUAACAGGGUAACAGGGUGUGUGUGUGUAUGUGUGUGUUUGUCUCUAUAUCUAUACAUCACGAGAGAAGGAAAUAUUUAUUUUUUUUUUUUGGCUUUUGUCUUUUGUUGUUGUUGUUGCUAUUUCUUGGGCCGCUCCCGCGGCAUAUGGAGGUUCCCAGGCUAGGGGUCCAAUCGGAGCUGUAGCCACCGGCCUACGCCAGAGCCACAGCAACGCAGGAUCCGAGCCGCGUCUGCAACCUACACCACAGCUCAUGGCAACGCCGGACCCUUAACCCACUGAGCAAGGGCAGGGACUGAACCCGCAACCUCAUGGUUCCUAGUCGGAUUCAUUAACCACUGCGCCACGACGGGAACUCCGGAAAUACUUAUUUUAAGGAAUUAUCUUACACAAUUAUGAGGGCUGGCAAAUCCAAAAUCUGCAUGGUGUGCUGGCUGGCUGCAGACUCGGGGAAGAGCUGCCGUUUGAGCUUGAAGUCUGUUUUCGGCAGAACUCCCUCUUCCUUGAGGGAAGUUGGUGUUUUCUUUGUCUUCCACUGACUGGAUGAGAUGCCCUCCCCUGGCACAGAGGCCAACCUGCCUUAUUCACAGUCUCCUCAUUAAACAUUGGUCUUGUCACACGAUACCUUCCCAGAAGCACCUACAAGGAUGUUCAACCAAACAUCUGGGUACCAGAGCCCAGCCAAGUGGACACGCAAAAUUAACCAUGUGACGAAUCUCGUUUUUAAUGUAGUUUUAUUUUAAAACAUGCAUUGUGUCCGUAAGCCUCCCAUGAAAAGAAACGGUGGGAGAAUGAGAAUAAACAGGGCUCGCCAGUGACGAGAAUGCCACGUGGGCGACGCCGACCUUAAGCGCAGUGACUGUGCGGGAAGCACACGGUGCUUGAAACUCCGCAUCGUCGCAGACACGCGUGGGUUCAGUCCCACCUACAGCCCAGUGACUGGGAGGACACAUUACUCCUGGCUUCUUCAUCUACCUUUGCCUCUUUGCUGGUUGUUUUUCCCCUGAUGAGGAUGAAAGGGCAAUGGAGUUAAUGGUAAUUAAUGGUCACACGGCAGUUCAUCAGCAUUGCGGGGCCUCAAGUGCCACGAGUGUCCGUGACAGGCUGCUGCGCCGAACACACUGUCACAGGCUGGGAGCCCGACAGCUCUGAGUCAGCAAGUGCUGGGGAUGCACAUGUACUCUGAACACCCAGGUACUGGCAUCUUUACCCCGAGGAGCCUUCCCAGGAUGGCUGCGUGGGUCCUGGAGCCCCUCAGGGCUGCUCCGGGCAUCGCAGAGGUGACGGGACAUUUUUUGGGACACUGACACGUGUACACCCCUCACCCCAUUUGCAGCUGGAGCUUCCAUUGCUGAAAAUGGGCUGAGCAGACACCAGAGAAGAGAUAAGACAUC
rnacentral:lncRNA from 9 species